GUUUAACAGAAACCUGUUUUUGUGAUGUGGAAGAAACUACGUUAAAAAUCAUCAUAAUUCUGUAACACGUUCUUAUUGGCACAAAUAUGAAACAAUGUAAACACAAAGAACAAAACCAAACAAAAAAGAAAAUAUUUUUAAGAAAUAUUAAUUAUGACUGAAAUGAAAAAGUGAAGCAACAUAAACACGAAUAAUUAAAUAAAUAAAAAUACAUUUUUGUUAUGAAAGCAAACAUUUACGACUCUUUGCAAACACUCAUGUGACCUCUGCUCUUCGUGGCUGAUUGUAACGUGCACGCUUCACGUAACGCCGUGGACACACUUUCAUCUGACUGCUGCUUUUUCACGUUAAUGAGUUGCUCUUUUUUUUUUUACUUUAUCAAAUUUAAUCACCAGUUUUGUUAUUUUAUUUUUAUUUUAUUAUUUUGCAUUAUUUUAUUUUAAUAAAUGAGAGCAAAUGAAUUUCUCUCAUUCUAAUAGUUUAAAAGUUUGGAAUAUUUAAAUUUGCAUGAUUUUUAUUUCACAUUUCUACAUUCGGCUCUUUGCUGCUUUGACUUCACUCUUGUGUGCUGAAAUAUUUCUGUGAGUACUUCAGUGUUUCUGUGAGUAAUGAGGCUGUUUGCACCUCCAGCGAUUCCUGGACGACUGCAGACGUUUGAAUGACUGUGAACAGAAACAAUCACUGACAAUCAUCAGUGUCACUGAGUGAUGGGCCUGUUGUGUUGAUCACUGGCCGUGUGUUAACCUUUGUUUCAGGGUCGGCAGACGCGCGCAGCAGCUGAUAACCCGGCGGAGUGUUUGAGCUGAUUAAACAUCCUAAUCAGAGGAAUGUGUCGCCUCGAUGACAGAAACAUUUACAGUUCACAAAGUUCACCCGUACGUCUUCAUCCGCAGCAUUAAAAUAUUACACAAUGAUAAAACCAUCAUGAGCCAGUAAUAAAAUGAUUCUGCAUAAUGAGUUUUUUUAGUUUUAGGAACUAAACAUAGUUUCAUUUUUGCACAUUACAAAAACACUGAGAGGCUCUCGUGCUCAGAGCGGCACAUCCAAACUCCACAGUCUUUU
ensembl:lncRNA